rnacentral:rRNA from 1 species
CUAACCUACGGGAGGCAGCAGUGGGGAAUAUUGGACAAUGGGGGGAACCCUGAUCCAGCGACGCCGCGCGAGUGAAGAAGUAUUUCGGUAUGUAAAGCUCUAUCAGCAGGGAAGAAAGAAAUGACGGUACCUGACUAAGAAGCCCCGGCUAACUACGUGCCAGCAGCCGCGGUAAUACGUAGGGGGCAAGCGUUAUCCGGAUUUACUGGGUGUAAAGGGAGCGUAGACGGCAAUACAAGUCGGAAGUGAAAUACCCGGGCUCAACCUGGGAACUGCUUUGGAAACUGUAUGGCUGGAGUGCUGGG